UACGUAGGGUGCAAGCGUUAUCCGGAAUUAUUGGGCGUAAAGAGCUUGUAGGCGGUUUGUCGCGUCUGCUGUGAAAAUCCGGGGCUCAACCCCGGACUUGCAGUGGGUACGGGCAGACUAGAGUGUGGUAGGGGAGACUGGAAUUCCUGGUGUAGCGGUGGAAUGCGCAGAUAUCAGGAGGAACACCGAUGGCGAAGGCAGGUCUCUGGGCCACUACUGACGCUGAGAAGCGAAAGCAUGGGGAGCGAACAGG
rnacentral:rRNA from 1 species